rnacentral:rRNA from 1 species
AGCGAACGCUGGCGGCAGGCCUAACACAUGUAAGUCGAACGAACCUUUCGGGGUUAGUGGCGGACGGGUGAGUAACACGUGGGAACGUGCCUUUAGGUUCGGAAUAACUCAGGGAAACUUGUGCUAAUACCGAAUGUGCCCUUCGGGGGAAAGAUUUAUCGCCUUUAGAGGGGCCCGCGUCUGAUUAGCUAGUUGGUUGAGGUAAUGGCUCACCAAGGCGACGAUCAGUAGCUGGUCUGAGAGGAUGAUCAGCCACAUUGGGACUGAGACACGGCCCAAACUCCUACGGGAGGCAGCAGUGGGGAAUCUUGCGCAAUGGGCGAAAGCCUGACGCAGCCAUGCCGCGUGAAUGAUGAAGGUCUUAGGAUUGUAAAAUUCUUUCACCGGGGACGAUAAUGACGGUACCCGGAGAAGAAGCCCCGGCUAACUUCGUG